rnacentral:rRNA from 1 species
AGCGAACGCUGGCGGCAGGCCUAACACAUGCAAGUCGAGCGCCCCGCAAGGGGAGCGGCAGACGGGAGAGUAACACGUGGGAACGUACCCUUUGGUUCGGAACAACCCAGGGAAACUUGGGCUAAUACCGAAUAAGCCCUUACGGGGAAAGAUUUAUCGCCGAAGGAUCGGCCCGCGUCUGAUUAGCUAGUUGGUGAGGUAACGGCUCACCAAGGCGACGAUCAGUAGCUGGUCUGAGAGGAUGAUCAGCCUCACUGGGACUGAGACACGGCCCAGACUCCUACGGGAGGCAGCAGUGGGGAAUAUUGGACAAUGGGCGCAAGCCUGAUCCAGCCAUGCCGCGUGGGUGAUGAAGGCCCUAGGGUUGUAAAGCCCUUUCGGCGGGGAAGAUAAUGACGGUACCCG